rnacentral:rRNA from 1 species
GACAGCAGCAGCCACGGUAAUACAGAGGGUGCAAGCGUUAAUCGGAAUUACUGGGCGUAAAGCGCGCGUAGGUGGUUUGUUAAGUUGGAUGUGAAAUCCCCGGGCUCAACCUGGAAACCGCAUUCAAAACUGACUGACUAGAGUAUGGUAGAGGGUGGUGGAAUUUCCUGUGUAGCGGUGAAGUGCGUAGAUAUAGGAAGGAACACCAGUGGCGAAGGCGACCACCUGGACUGAUACUGACACUGAGGUGCGAAAGCGUGGGGAGCAAACAGGAUUAGAUACCCGUGUAGUCCCUGUCUCUUAUAC